rnacentral:rRNA from 1 species
GUUUGAUCCUGGCUCAGGAUGAACGCUAGCGGCAGGCCUAACACAUGCAAGUCGAGGGGUAACAUAGAGAAGCUUGCUUUUCUGAUGACGACCGGCGCACGGGUGCGUAACGCGUAUGCAACCUACCUCUUACUGGAGGAUAGCCCGAAGAAAUUCGGAUUAAUACUCCAUAGUAAUGUUUUUUCGCAUGUUAAGACAUUUAAAGGUUACGGUAAGAGAUGGGCAUGCGUCCCAUUAGCUAGAUGGUAAGGUAACGGCUUACCAUGGCAACGAUGGGUAGGGGGCCUGAGAGGGUGAUCCCCCACACUGGUACUGAGACACGGACCAGACUCCUACGGGAGGCAGCAGUGAGGAAU